AGAACAGAGCUGACGCCGAGCUGAAGAGAGCUUGUGGAGUCACUCCUCAUCCACAUCUCAAGGAUGAUGAGGGGUCUGGUGACCUGAAGGGAGCGUUUGGUUACGAUCCUCACGAGUUCAAGGGAGACACAUUACUGAAAUCUGAAGCCGGACG